CCAGACUCCUACGGGAGGCAGCAGUGGGGAAUAUUGGACAAUGGGGGGAACCCUGAUCCAGCGACGCCGCGUGAGUGAAGAAGUAUUUCGGUAUGUAAAGCUCUAUCAGCAGGGAAGAAAGAAAUGACGGUACCUGACUAAGAAGCCCCGGCUAACUACGUGCCAGCAGCCGCGGUAAUACGUAGGGGGCAAGCGUUAUCCGGAUUCACUGGGUGUAAAGGGAGCGUAGACGGCCAAGCAAGCCAGGGGUGAAAGCCCGGGGCCCAACCCCGGGACUGCCCUUGGAACUGCAUGGCUAGAGUGCGGGAGGGGCAGACGGAAUUCCUGGUGUAGCGGUGAAAUGCGUAGAUAUCAGGAGGAACACCGGCGGCGAAGGCGGCCUGCUGGACCGCGACUGACGUUGAGGCUCGAAAGCGUGGGGAGCGAACAGGAUUAGAUACCCGCGUAC
rnacentral:rRNA from 1 species